rnacentral:rRNA from 1 species
GACGAACGCUGGCGGCGUGCCUAAUACAUGCAAGUCGAACGCAGUGGGGACGGUGGAUUAACACGUGGGUAACCUCCCAUCAGAGGGGAUAACACUUGGAAACAGGUGCUAAACCGAUACUGAUGGAUGGACCCGCAGUGAAUUAGCCGGUGGGGGGGGUAACGGCGCACCAAGGCCACGAUGCAUAGCCGACCUGAGAGGAGGAUCGUCCACACUGGGACGGAGACACGGUCCAGACUCCUACGGGAGGCAGCAGUAGGGAAUCUUGCGCAAUGGACGAAAGUCUGAUCGAGCAACGCCGCGUGAGUGAAGAAGGUAUUCGGAUCGUAAAACUCUGUUGUUAGGGAAGCGGUAUCUAACCAGAAAGCCACGGCUAACUACGUGCCAGCAGCCGCGGUAAUUC